rnacentral:tRNA from 1 species
GCCACUGUGAACCGGCACUUAGGAACUUCUGCUUCCCAAGCAGACAGCGCGGGUUCGAUUCCCGUCAUCGGCU